rnacentral:tRNA from 1 species
CCUUCCGGAGCUGUACUUCUUAGCACUUGCCUUUUAAGCAAACUAAACCUUUUCUAGGUCGAAAGGA